CGUCGAGCGGCGGACGGGUGAGUAAUGCCUAGGAAAUUGCCCUGAUGUGGGGGAUAACCAUUGGAAACGAUGGCUAAUACCGCAUGAUGCCUACGGGCCAAAGAGGGGGACCUUCGGGCCUCUCGCGUCAGGAUAUGCCUAGGUGGGAUUAGCUAGUUGGUGAGGUAAGGGCUCACCAAGGCGACGAUCCCUAGCUGGUCUGAGAGGAUGAUCAGCCACACUGGAACUGAGACACGGUCCAGACUCCUACGGGAGGCAGCAGUGGGGAAUAUUGCACAAUGGGCGCAAGCCUGAUGCAGCCAUGCCGCGUGUGUGAAGAAGGCCUUCGGGUUGUAAAGCACUUUCAGUCGUGAGGAAGGUAGUGUAGUUAAUAGCUGCAUUAUUUGACGUUAGCGACAKAAGAAGCACCGGCUAACUCCKUGCCANCAGCCGCGGUAAUACGGAGGGUGCGAGCGUUAAUCGGAAUUACUGGGCGUAAAGCGCAUGCAGGUGGUUUGUUAAGUCAGAUGUGAAAGCCCGGGGCUCAACCUCGGAAUUGCAUUUGAAACUGGCAGACUAGAGUACUGUAGAGGGGGGUAGAAUUUCAGGUGUAGCGGUGAAAUGCGUAGAGAUCUGAAGGAAUACCGGUGGCGAAGGCGGCCCCCUGGACAGAUACUGACACUCAGAUGCGAAAGCGUGGGGAGCAAACAGGAUUAGAUACCCUGGUAGUCCACGCCGUAAACGAUGUCUACUUGGAGGUUGUGGCCUUGAGCCGUGGCUUUCGGAGCUAACGCGUUAAGUAGACCGCCUGGGGAGUACGGUCGCAAGAUUAAAACUCAAAUGAAUUGACGGGGGCCCGCACAAGCGGUGGAGCAUGUGGUUUAAUUCGAUGCAACGCGAAGAACCUUACCUACUCUUGACAUCCAGAGAACUUUCCAGAGAUGGAUUGGUGCCUUCGGGAACUCUGAGACAGGUGCUGCAUGGCUGUCGUCAGCUCGUGUUGUGAAAUGUUGGGUUAAGUCCCGCAACGAGCGCAACCCUUAUCCUUGUUUGCCAGCGAGUAAUGUCGGGAACUCCAGGGAGACUGCCGGUGAUAAACCGGAGGAAGGUGGGGACGACGUCAAGUCAUCAUGGCCCUUACGAGUAGGGCUACACACGUGCUACAAUGGCGCAUACAGAGGGCGGCCAACUUGCGAAAGUGAGCGAAUCCCAAAAAGUGCGUCGUAGUCCGGAUUGGAGUCUGCAACUCGACUCCAUGAAGUCGGAAUCGCUAGUAAUCGUGGAUCAGAAUGCCACGGUGAAUACGUUCCCGGGCCUUGUACACACCGCCCGUCACACCAUGGGAGUGGGCUGC
rnacentral:rRNA from 1 species